rnacentral:rRNA from 1 species
CACGUAGGGUGCGAGCGUUGUCCGGAAUUAUUGGGCGUAAAGAGCUCGUAGGCGGUGUGUCGCGUCGGCCGUGAAAACCUGCAGCUUAACUGUGGGCUUGCGGUCGAUACGGGCAUCACUGGAGUUCGGCAGGGGAGACUGGAAUUCCUGGUGUAGCGGUGAAAUGCGUAGAUAUCAAGAGGAACACCUGAGGCGAAGGCGGGUUGCUAGGCUGACACUGACGCUGAGGCGCGAAAGCUAGGGGAGCAAACGGG